GGCCAAUCUUGUCAGUCCAGUGACAAUGGAAAAAAAAGAAAAAAAUGAAACUCUGUUAAUAGGAUUAUACGAUUUGGGGAGUAGAAUGUUGUUACAGAUGAUUUAUUUUGAAAGCUGAUUUCGUUUUAGUGAAAACAAGCUCAACCCAUUACACCAGAGGCCAUGGUGCCAAACACAAUCAUUUCUAGUUUGAAAGAUGUGAUUGCUUUUUAAUGUGGAAAUUUCAUGAGGUUACAAAGAGGAAAAAAAUUCAACUACUUUCAUGUAACAAAGUCACUUUGGGAUGUGGGUUACAAUGCCCUGACAGUGUCCAGAUACCCUGACCACAUCUCAAGUUAGAAAGGUGGAUCUGUUUGAUUUACACCAUUUCUCAAUUGUGUUUCUCUUAUGCCUUUGAAAUAACAUAAGAGGUUUUUUUUACCAAAAUAAAUAGAAAGUUAGGUAACCUAAAUACUGGAAGUAUGCAGAAUCAGGCAAGGAUAGGCAAGAUAGAGGAAACAAAUACAGGUAAAGAAACUUAGUCUACAGACCUCUGUGUGUGUGUGUGUGUGUGUGUGUGUGUGUGUGUGAUAGAGAGAGAGAGAGAGAGAGAGGGAAUUCUCCUUUGCCAAAACAGUUUUAUUUGCUUACUCCAGUUUGACCAAACCAAAAGCCUGUUAUUUAGCCUGUUCUAAUUUAAUCUCAUGAUUUGCUUUCACCAGGUUCCAUAGCAUCUUCUUUUCUCACAUAUAUCUUUGGGGGAUUUUAAAGGAAAUAAAGACUCAUCAAAACAAUUUUUAAUGUGUUCAUAGGGUAUGGCUGAGAUUAUCAUAAUGAUAAUGGCUAGGUUUUGACUCUGCCAUAAUUUAUCAGAUAUUACAAUUCUUUGUUAAUAUGUAAUAUAAUGUGAAUCAUAAAAAAAAAACAGUUGAUGGGAUGAGGAAAAAAGUGUUUCUACUGGUAAAAAAAUCACUAUAUUGAGAAUGAUCAAAAAGUUAAGCCAUCUUGAAGAGAACUGAAUGUUUGUUAUGUGGAAUGCAUCUCUCCAUUCUUAAACUAGGCUUUUAUCCCUAGCUGGGAAGGAUGGAGCCAUAGCAGGGAAUACAGCCAUGACAAUGUAGCGUCAUUUUCAGAACCUUGGGUAGGAAUGACAUAUACACCAUGAAACCUUUUUGUCCUUCCAGUAACUGGUUGUUAUUUUUUGCCUGUGCAUUUUGCAUGCCUGUUCUUUGUGACUGGCAGGGGAAAAGCAGGUGAAGAAGCCAUAUGAUUGCAGUGCUUCUUGCAAAAGUUUGGCUGACAAAAUUGCUACUGCAUCUUUGGGAGCCAGCAUAAAAGAGCACAAAUCUGAGCAUCAAAGGAACUGGGACACUGGAAAGGAAAGGUGCUGGCCUUUUUUGGAGUAAAAUUUAGGGGGAAUGAGUUAGGGGUCUGAUAAACAAGCAAAGCAAGACUACAAUGUCCAGUUUCAAAUUUAAGCAAAUCCUAGUUAGCCCCUGACAGUUCCACUUAGCACACCAUUCAUUUAGUACUCAGGCCAACACUGAACUGCCAGGUCAGCUAAUGUGGUGAGUGUACAUGUCCUUCCAUUUUCCUUUUUUGAUUCCUUCUUUUCUGUUCAUUGUCACUUCAGUUCUGAUAUCUAAAUACCUACACAGAUUAUUUUACUUCUUAACAUCAAUUCCUGUAAGAAGGAGACUUGAGUACAGUAAAGUAAAAUUUGGGAUCAUUAUGAAUCAAUGUAACUAGUGCUUAAGGGAAGGGCUAAGUGCUUUAAUUUAUUGAAUGGCUACCAUGUUCCAACUAUUUCAUGUACUUAUUUAAUCCUCACAAAACCUUGAGAUAGAUAUUAUUAUCCCACUUUGAAGAAGGAGGAAUUGAGAUGCAGGGAUGAUAAGGUACCACAGAUUCAUCUACUCCAAAGCCCAUGUUCAUCCCACUAGUUCAUUCUGUCUCCCAACUUCACUUAUGGCAAAAGCCUAUUGUUUCUUGGGGCUGAGGAAUGGACUUAUUCAGUAAUAUGAAGUCUAGUUAUGACUCCAAUUAGGACCUCAGAGUCCUUGGUUAUGAGACUUUGAGGAAAGGGUUUGAAGAUCUUCAGAUGAAAGAAAAAUGGAGCAUAACUUUCUGUAGUCAGAUGUAUAUUUGAUAUAUAUAUGACAAAGUGCUAUUGGCUUAUAUAGGUUUUUUCAGCAAAUAAGUCUCUGAGACCUUCAUCUCUAUAUUCUUGGUACCUAGAAUAAUGCCUGACCCAUAGUGGGUAUCCAAUGAAUAUAUGUUGAAAUUAACUGUGGGAUCCAUAAUUAUGGGAAUAAAUCAGGAAAUCUGUUAACUAGUGCAGAAACGAUAUUUCAGAUUUAUUUCCAAAGUUGUCAUAUCUGAGGUGAUUCUAAAACAUUUAUCCAUAUUUUACUCUUUUAUGGUAUGAUGACAGUGGUGAUCGUAAGAAGACUUUGUAAAAUGACAUCUCUCAUUAUGUUCCUUUUUAAAAGGUGAACUAUACAUGCCCCUACAACAAUAUUCCCAUAAUGAAUGAGUCUCAUGGAGUAUUGAUUAAUGGCUUCUUCAGUUAAAAGAAAAACCAGUUUCUUCUUGGAUUUCAGUGGUUGCUAAGACUGCGCAGUCUAUACAGGAAAAAAACUGCAUGAAACCAGACUCCAAGCUCAGAGGGCAAGCAUGCACACUGCACCAGAAAUCAUGCUAUUCCAAUCCAAAUGCACUAAAUCCUCCUGUAAUGUGUGGUCAAGGAGUUAAGUUCUAAAGGAAAAUGCAAACAGCCUAACGUGGAAACCAUAUCUGUCUGUCUCCUUCAGCCUCUGAGCCUCUCUGACAGGACUCUGCCGAGGAAGGUGUCUUAAUGCUUCACCCAGUAAUGAUAGCCUCACCAAGUGCUUCGAAGGAGUUAUACAGUAAGGGCCAAGUUUGGGUUUGGAAAAGAGAGGAAGCAAACUGACUCUGUGGUUUGUUAUGAGAUCCUGGGAGGAGCUUUGAGCGUUACAAAGAGUCUUUCCUCUUCCAACCCUUCCAACCUCCUCCUCACUCCCUCCUGGGUUUCAUUCUUUUUUCACAGAAGCUUGGCAGCAGGCAGAGUGAGAAAGGCUAGCUGAAAAAAGGACCCCUCCGUUCUGGUCUCCUUCGCAUGACCUAUGACUGCAGCCCCAACAGUAGAUUGUGAAACUAGAAGCCCUCUUUCAUUGAGUCCGUCUUACCAAGAGGAAAAACUGCUUUGUGUGAUGACUUUAUGGCAAAUCCUGGCAAAAGCUUUGCCCUGCAUACUGAAAGAGAGACAUUUCUAACCGCAGCUCAUGAACCACACUUAUUUACUCUGGCACAUGCCCACUAUUUGUUCAUAGGCUUUCUGUCUCUACCAAUGUGUUCCAAUUUUGGAGGCUAAAUCACUGCCACUACUUUCCAGGACAUUCCGCUAGGCUAAGCAAAAUCACCCUAAGCAGUAGUCAGAAACCACUGGAGUAGUAUUGUAAAUACAGACUAUUUGACGAAAAUGAAAGAUAGCAAACAUCUUAUCGUUUUUGUGCUGCAGAAUUCCAUGGGUCAUAUCUUGCAGAAAGUCAUGCAAGACACUAACAAGAAACUAGAGCAGGGUACAAGGGCUUUCAUCCCCACUAAAACUCAGAAAUUGUGCUUGAAACCACUUUGAAAGUUGGUCACAGUCUGACACAGCUUUAAGUACAUACUAUGACCCUGUUCAGGAGUCAUGCUAGAGAUUAGACACAACCUAACCUGUAGUAGCCUUUUGUCUGGUAUGGAUUUUAAAAUAAACAUAAGAUCUGAAAACAGUGGGGCAAUACAUUUCUGCAUUCGGUAAUAGCCAUCCCAUCCCCAUGUGAGUCUUUACCUUGGGCCUAAUGAUGGCUUAAUGGGUCAUGUUGAACCAGGUUCAUUUCAAGAUCUGGGAUAACUGGGAAACUCUCCAUUUGUAAUAAAACCUCCCCGCACUAUUGAGCUGCCUUAUUCCUUAUCUCAUCCCAGGCAGGGACUGAGGAAAGGAUACAUGACAUGAUACUGCUUCUCUAUCCAUACCUCUUUUGCCUGUUUUCUAUUAGAUUUGUUUCUAACCAAAGCAGAGUUUUUAUUUACCCAUGUGUUUUAAUAAUGAAUAAGAGUGUUAUACAUUCUGCAACUUUGAUAUCAGUGCAUCAAUAUGACCAUGUUUGUGUUUGGAAAGAGGAAGGAAGCUCACUCCAAAAUCAAGUGCUCAGUAUCCACCAGUAUUCUUUUGAGGUGGCUUAGCAGAUUCUUGAAGUACUUACAUGUUUUACAAUACCUCUUGAGACUUAUUGAAACAAGUCUCUUUCAUCCUAAGGGUGAAGCAAAAUUAAGUUGAAAUAAGCCACAAUUAAAACUCCAUGUGUUGCUUUACAAGGCAGAAGAAAGGGUAUCCAUAUCUCUAUCCAUGUGUAUUCUGUUAACCUUUCAGGCAUUUUAACUUUGGGUAGUGGUCAGCAUGAAGGGGGACUAGGUAGGAACAAGGCCACCACAUCAAACUGAUAGUGGGGUGGAAGGAACAUUUGACACCUCCCGCCUUUUCUGCCCCCUGUCUGUUUUUAAUUUUGCUAAAUCAUUCCCGUCUGGAGAUUGUAUAUUUUAAGUUGCCUCUCCAAGCAACACAGAGGUACAGUGUCAGAGAGCCUGAUCUCAAAACCAGGCAAAGAGAUGUGAAAGCUGUAAAGGCCCCAAGCCACAAGAAAGACAGAAAAGGAACAGGGUGGGGUCCUGGCUUAAAUGAUAUUAGCCUUCAGGGUGUAUGCAGUAACUGGGAAGAUGCACUGGGAGACAUAACCUUUCUCUCAUGGUGAGUGUAAGACUUUUUGUAUGUUUGUGUUUUAAAAAGUUAAUAUCCCUUUGAAAGUUCUAAAGGUGACUUCCUGGGAAAUGUGAACUACCAUGAAAUUUUACUGGAAAAGAGAUUCCAAGGCAAGAGACUUCAAAGUGAGAUUUGUCCAUCAUAAAUAUGAAGGAAUCAGCCUGUAGGCAAACCACGGGGUGAGGCCGGGAAUGCCUGGGUGAGGGUGCAUGUGCACGUGGGAGGGGUGCUGAGCACCCUCUCUCAGUGCCAACCCCCCGCCCCCUUGGAGAAAGGUAUGUACAGUCCUUGGUCUACCUGUUGACAGAGGAGUUAGGCAUGUUCUCCUGCUGUCUUGCUCCCUGCCAGCACUUCCUCCCUCACCAGUGAUGAGACCGGGCUAUGCAAAACAGGUACUCUGACUGUGCCAGGCUCCAGGGCCGGGCCUUCCUUACUCAGACUAGGUAUUUGUCUUUGUGCAUGAUUUUAAGGGUGUGCUAAAAAAUGUGUCUAUGUCCCUAAAAUAUUACUCCCAUCAAUUUGCAACAUAGCUUCUGAAACUUCACCACUAAAAAUUCACAUCUUUGAGUUAAUGCUAAUCAUCCAUGGUAAGAGGGGCGGUGGAUUAAACUGUUUUUUGCCCUUUCUACUCUCAUUCUAAUUAGAUUACCAGAUAAUGCCCUGCUCUCUUGAAAGUGGAAGUAAAUAUCCAGUGGGAAUGGGGCACAAUGCAGGUAGAAUUCGAUAGAAAAUUUGGUCAACAUGAGAAGUGGAAAAGGUCCAGAGCAUAUCAGCUCAGGUGAGGGCCACUGUGAGGGGACCUUGUGUAAACAGAUUACAGAAUUACACCUCUAGGCAGGGGAAGUAGGAAAGAGGAAGAGCCAUUCCAAAAUAAGUAAAUGUUGCCAAAGAACCACUUACCAGCAUUUCCUAAGGCUGGUCCUGCUGCUAGAGUGUAGACCUUCCAGCAAAAUAUAUUGUGAAAAAUGUCACCCCUCCACCAUAAACAAAUACCCCACCCCCACUCUGUCCCUCUGCCCCAGUUUCUCAUUUGGGAAACUUACAGUUCCUAUGGCAGCCUCCAAGGUUUUUUUGGAGGAACAAGAAUGUUCAAGGAAGCUAGAGCUCUUCAACCAAAUGAUUUUAUAUCUCAGAUUUCCCAGUUCUGACACCCAAGCCCUCACUUUGGAACAUCAAUAAAUCCUUGUUAUAUUGUUGCCUGAGACACCAUAAGUAAACCUCUUGAGAAAUGUAGAGAUGUACACAGGCUACUCAGCAUAACCUUGUCAAAAGAAGAUACAGUACUUUCUGGUAGUUCCUAUCCCAUAGUCAGGAAUAGGUCAUUGUUUUUAAUCAGAAAUAUAUAUAUAUAUCUUUUACUAUCUUAUCAAUUCUUUACCUUCUUUUUGCAGGUUUUUAUCCUUUAAGAGAACUGCAGAUGGUUUUGGUAUAUAAUAUAUAAUAUGACCUGUUAAGAUUAUACCAAUGAAAUUGGUUUCCUGGAAGACCAGAAGCCUGGACUGUCACCACACCUCCAACCACUCGAUGCCACUACUUCCGAAUCAUGGGACUUGCCUGUCCACUCAGGACUGUGGGACUCUUGGGGAAAUUGCCCAGGCCAUGUUUCACAAACAGGCCCUGGAACUCGUGGGAAAGGAGCUGUCUUGACUCAUAAGAAAGGGGGCGCUCCAGGUUUCGUUAUGCGUUUUCUAGAGGUACAGAUGAGGUAGGGUGAAGGAGAUAGAGUUCAUGCCUGAAAUAAGGAAAGAGAUAAUUAUCAGGAAAAUAUUUCUUUAGACAUUCAACCCAGUCCCUUGGGUUAAGAAGGAAUUUAGGAGCCCGGUUUUCCUGAUACCUUUUUUUUUUUUUUUUUUUUGCGGUACGCGGGCCUCUCACCGUUGUGGCCUCUCCCAUUGCGGAGCAGAGGCUCCCGACGCGCAGGCUCAGCGGCCAUGGCUCACGGGCCCAGCCGCUCCGCGGCAUGUGGGAUCUUCCCGGACCAGGGCACGAACCCGAGUCCCCUGCAUCGGCAGGUGGACUCAACCACUGCAUCACCAGGGAAGCCCUGAUACCUUCUUAAUUUUGAUAAAAGCAUGGAUUUUAAAACAACGACAACAACAGGGGACUGUCAUUGUCAUUUCAGGAUCCAUCAGUGUCUUCCGAUAAAGCUGUAUCAGUAAUAAUAUUUUUUAAAGAUGUACUUUCAUUUUAAGUAGAGAAGAAAAAAAGAAAAGUGAAAAACACACUUUAGCCACUUCAUCUCAUUCAGUUGAAUUUUUCAGGCAAACUACAAACAAGAAUGAUAAAGUCAUUUAGCCUCUGUUAUCCCAAAUGUCCCUAAUGUUUUCCUAAGUAUGUAAUUUACUCUCAUAGCAACUGCAUCAGGAAGACAAAAACCAACAGAAUUAUCCACAGUUUACAGAUGGGUAAAGAAACAGGCAAACAAUCAGGUGAAAAACAAUUUAGUUCCCUCAUUAGUUGUUUUGUCUUCAUGAUCCCAUGUUUUUGUUUUAUUUUAUUUGUUUGUUUGUUUAUUUAUGGCUGCUUUCGGUCUUCGUUGCUGCGUGCGGGCUUUACUAGUUGGGGCAAGUGGGGACAACUCUUCUUUGCGGUGUGCCAGCUUCUCAUUUCGGUGCUUUUCUUGUUGAAGAUCACGGACUCUAGGUGCGCAGGCUUCAGUAGUUGUGGCGCACGGGCUUAGUUGCUCCGCGGCCUGUGGGAUCUUCCCAGACCAGGGCUCGAACCCGUGUCCCCUGCAUUGGCAGGUGGAUUCUUAACCACUGCACCACCGGCUAAGUCCCCCCAUGUUUUUAAAAUGUGUUUUUUUUAAAAAAAAAAAAAAAACAUUGAAUUGAUUGAGUGCUUUGGUGCUAGGAGGACACAACCUCAGAAGAAAAGAAAGUGAUCAAUUUUCCAAAAUUAAAUAAUGAAUCAGUGGUGGUGCAGCUACUAGAAUCAGCCAAGAAUAUAGUUAUAGAAACAUUUAAUCUCAGAAAUGUCAUUCCAUUCAUCAACUCAAGAAAAGCUUUCCUUGUGAACCACAGAGAUUAAAUAGUUUUAAUGGAGAUUAUAUCUAAGGAGGCCACCCAAAUUCACCUUUCCAUUAUUCAUUCCCUGGUUGUAGUCUAGAAACAUUAGGUAUCUUGGUCCAGAAAUACACAUUUUCCAUUGAAAUUAAGUAUGUUGGGUUUUCCUUUCUUUGGGCUAAAAUUAGUAGUGAAUCACAGACUAUUUCUACCAGAUAAUGUUACCAAGGAAAAAUGUCUCUUUAAGGUUCCUGUGGAUUAGAUAGGCAAAAUUUUCCCUGUACGAGGCUGUGCCUCUGAACAAUUAUGAUGCUGACCCAGCAAAAGCAAUGUCUACAUUUCAUCUUUGGAAUCUGAGGAGGAAAACUAAAACAAGUGGUCAUUACUGAAGGGGGUUUCAAUAAUUGCUUUAAUGGGACAGAGUGGUUUUAUGUGAAGGUCUUUGUGACAACUCAGGAAGAAACAAUCAAAAGGAAAACUGUUUUUACAGCUUGUGACAAGGUAAUACCAAUAAAUAGGAAUGGCACCUUGAUCAUUCAUCCCAGAGACCCUGAUACUUAGUUUGACUGUAUAAUUUAUCGUCCAAACCAAGAUUUUUUUUUAGAGAGUGAAAGGGGGUACAAUUAACAAUUACGCUAGAACAACAGGUGUGAAUUAGAACAUUUCAGGCAAACGGGACAAAUGAUCACCCUACUAAUACUAGAAAGGAGAAGGAUUAAUUAUAAGAGAAGAACACUGACAUGGGGCAGGUUUCUAAUUAAUAUUUAAUAUGGAAAGGAAUUUUUUAAAGGAGUUUAAUACAUGCUCAUUUUAACUGUAGAGGUUGGUGAUAUCCCAGUCAUAUCCUCUUUGUACUGAUCAUUAAAUCAGUGAGUCUUAUCUUGUUAAAUGGUAGGUUAUUUUAUAUAUUUCAGACACAUUGAAAGGAACAUUGAUUUUUUUUAACCCUGAAAACCAAUUAGUAGAGCAUAAUAAUGCCCUUGUCUCCUGAACAUGAAUGCCCAUUCCAUUGGGGAGUAACCUACUUACCUGGAAAACAGGAGUUUUCAAUCUAUCUUUUUGGACGUGUCGCAUCUUAAAGGUAAUGUUUAUUCCAUAUCAUCUUGGGGGAUAAAAGACCAUUGUUAGCAUGGAGUCUUGGCACAUAGUAGGUACACAAUAAAUAUUUGUUGAAUAAGUGAAUGACAUGUACUCAGCAGAAUAAUUUUUUAAAAGAAAUAUGAAUACAUAUAUAGAAAAUCAUAUAUUUGCUUUUAUUCAACUCUUUCUAAAUAGUUGCAUAAACAAGAUAAAAGUACACACUGGAGUCAACAAAUUAUCAUUUUGCAUGUCCUUAAAAAUCACAGCAAAGCAGGUUGCUAUUCAGAACUUACAGAGGAGACAGUAUCUCUCUAUAGAUCCUGCAAGCUUAAGAGAUGAAACAGUUUUUCUCUUCUUUUGGAUUAUUUGUUAGUAUUAAAAAUAAAACCUGGUUUUCACACUUAAUUGAAGUAUUCUAUCCCUCCCAUGCUUAGGACGGUUAUCUUGGAAAAGGGAUUUGAUGUUGGUGUUGAAGAAAGCUCAUCAAUGGCUUGGCAAGAAAUAAGAGAUGAAGAGUUCUGGAAGCCUGUAAAGAAAAGCUCAUAGAAGAGAACAGGUGAAACUUUAGGAAAGGACACCAAGGAACUAAUAAUAAUUUUUUUUAAAGGAUUGUUAUAUCUGAUAUAACUUUGGGGGGAAGCUGGGUGAAGGGUACAUGGCACUUCCCUGGACUAUACAAAUACUUGUGAGUUUAUAAUUAUUUCAAAAUAAAAAGUUUAAACAGA